CGCGUUGCUCAGCUCUUAGUUGCAACUGGCCGACUGACAGUUGUGUUUACACAUUCUAGAGAGCAACUGAAAAGGAAGUUCUGUGUUUGCAGAGGCCCAAACUCGAUCUCUGCAUUAGUACUGCAUAUCUGAGAACCUGAGGCUGAGGACAUAAUUCGAGAAGCUCAGCUUAGCAGCCGGCCUCCGGGUGUGGAAGGCUUUCUAUAUGUGUAUCCUGUUCACAUUUCUCCCCGAGCUCCACACCCACAUAUACAACCCCCAACUUGACUCUACUUGGACUUCUGGAUAUGGCAGGCUCAGGCAUCUGCUGCUCCUCCAGCCGGAGUCCUGGAGAGAUGAGUGGAGCCCCACUGAAACUGCCGCUUGGAGCAAAACUGCUGCAGCCCAUCUGUGCAGACCUAAGUGAGAUGGUGAGAUGUGUUUGCUUGUCAUUGUUGUAAAUCUCUGUGACCUUUUUAUUUUGAUACUGAAAUAGCUGACCAAUCAAUUUAAUAGACAACAGAAUUUCUAAAUUCUAAAUUACCUUAACAGGCUAGAAUCCCUCUGGGAUGAAACCAACUGGAUACAACUUAUGGCUGCAAAACCCUGUAUUUGGAUAAAAAAAAAGUAGCAAAUGACACAAUGCUCUUUGAUGCCAGUGCCCACCUUCUGAAUAGUUCUCAGCACUGCAUCUAGUUGAUCACUAACAAUCAAUAGGAAAUGGCAGGUAAGAUGAAACUUUCCAUUUGCCAUGUCUCAACUGGUAUACAAAGGAGAGUCAAGGAUCAUGAGGAGUCUAGAAGCCACAUUUUAUGAUGAAUAAUUGAAGGCAGUGGAGUAACUCAUAAAUUCUCAUGAUGUUACAGUGGAAAGACAAUCAGAAACCAUGCCAGCCCUCCCAUUUGGAGCAAAUUUAUUUUUGUUUGAAGAAAAGAAGACAGUGUCAUUCUUAUUCUUCAUUUAUCUCUUCUUUUAUUCCCAAUUACCCAAUUGUAUCUAUGUAAUUAUAUUUACAAUCACUAGAAACAUAAGUAUAAAGAAUACAAUGCCGCCUACAAGCCAAGGCAAAAAAGAGCGAUAUUAUCAGUCACAUAUUCUCAUGAAAAGAAAUGAGAAAGGAUCUCCUGGCAGAUUGUUUUCAAUAAUGACCCCAUUAUUCCUUUUCCUGUAUCCACACCCAUUUGCAAUGUGACUUUGCAGUUCCUUCCAGCAAGAAGUGGGGGCUAGGGCUAUUUCUCCACUCCUUGAAUCUGGGCUGGCUUGUGAGAUGCUUUAACCAAUAUUAUACAACAGUUGUGACUUAGUCAUUCUGAGUCCAGGUCUCAAGGGGCCUCAUGUACUCCACUCCCAGAACCCCGUGCUGUCUCCAUGGCAUAUCAGACCUACCCGCUGCAGGACGAGAUAGCAUACUGACCAUAAUUGAGCCCCGAAGCUGUCAGGGUUUAGGCCUAAGGGAUGUGAAAGAGCCUCAGCAAGAUCAGGUGGCCUGACCACAAUAAGCAGAACUGUCUAGCCUACCCAAGACUCCUAAUUAGUGAUAAAUGCUUGUUGUUUUACCCCUCUGGGUUAUAGGGGUAGUUUGGUUGUUAUGUAGAAGUAGAUGAUUAAUAAGAUCUUAUUGGGGAAGCAAAGCAUCCUACUGUUGAAUUCUAAAACAAAAUUGCUCAAGUGGUGCAGGCCCACUGCCAUUAACCCACCACAAAUAUUUUCUGUAGGGGUCUCUCAUCCCCCAGUAGUGUGCUAUCCUGUGUGUCCUUACCACACACCUAUGACAGACACUAGCUCUGCCUUCUGUCUUCAUGGCCAUGGUCUACUUCAAAACAGCAGCUACAAAUCUGAUUGAAAAACCCUAUAGCAAUAUAUAUUUUAAAAUUUCCCCUCUCCUCCCAGAAACCUAAAAUUACAUUUUAGACAUACUUUUUUUUCUUCCUAAUGCUGAUAGUAAUGCUGGUAACCUACAUAUCUAAUAGUAGGAAUUACACUUCAUCAGUGUAAGCCAUAUUUGUUAAUCUGUAAUAUAAUGGAGUUGAAACAAAGGAUUUCUAAAAUUCCCUGCAGUUCUCUGGAUUUCUGAUUCUCAUGAUAAAAUAUCAAAGUUAUGCUUUUAAAGACUAUUUAGUUACGUUGGAAAACACCCAAGUAUAAAAUUAAAUUAAAAUGCAGGAUAGAAAACAGUAUUAUUCCAGCACUGCAAAAAUAUACAGAAAUGUAAAUACAUGAAACCACAGACAGA